GGGGGUGCGCGGAGGCUGUGGUUGGGUGCGGGGGGGUGCGCGUCUGCCCUUGGUGCGGGGCGCUGUGGGGGGUGCGCGGCUGCGGUGGGUGCCCGGUGGCUGCAGCGGGUGCGGGGCAGGUGCACCGGGUGCGGCGGGUGCGCACUGGGCCCAGGUCGGCUGUACACUUGGACAUCCCACGAGCUUCGUAUCUCUGCUAACUGAACACGCUGAAAUCAGUGUGGGGCGGUCUUUCUUGACCAAAGAUGCGCUCCUGAACCCAGCCCUUUUCUGAUCUUUGAUUCUGGGCCGGGGCACAAGUGGGCAGGAGCUCCCCCACCCCGCCGUGUCCCCGGGGAAGUGGCUGGGCUCAGCCCCGCAGCGCCUCUUACCAACACAGCACCGGACGUCCUUCUGAUGAGAAACGACAGAUGCAGGUUUAACCAGGACGCUGGAAACGGCUUCCGGGCGCCGCCGGGGGCGAGCGGGGAGCGCCUCCCAAGCCGCCCAGGAGCUGUGGGCCCAGAGCUUUCCGUGUGCCCCUCUCUGACCACGAAGCUGCCCAUCUGCUGCCCACGGUACGCACUGGGGCCGCUGGGAGACACACAGGAGGCUCAGUCACCCCCAGGAAGGCGUCCGUGAGCCCAGAGGAGCGCGAGCUGCCAUGUCAUCCCCACGUCCUCGUGGCGUGAAGCAACACAGAUGCCUCUCGUCCCGAAACUCGCCAUGGGCCGUCCGGUCCCGGGAAUGGUGGAGUGGCUGACCGCGCACACCUCUGCCCGAAAACCGGUCUAAAGGCAGACGGGACACAGCAGGGCCUGCAGCUCUGCAAGGCGCUCCGCGCCGGGGCAGCGCCGGGCAGUUCCUCCUUGGGGGAGGAUGUGGGGACCUGUGGCGACCCCGGGGUUCUCCCGGCUGCGGCAGAGAAGGUGGGGGGCAGGGAGUUAGGCUGCAGAGAGCCGGGAGCUGCGAGGGGCUUGGCUGCCAGGUGCAAAGUGCAACCGCAGUCCUCAGACAUCACAUGGCCAGGGCUGCCAGGGCGGUCGCAGUCCUCAAAAUCCCCCUUCAGCCCCAUGUUAAUAAACGUGCGAAGAAGCCGGAGACUUAGGGCCGGUGCCGUGGCUCUCUUGGUUAAUCCUCUGCCUGCAGCACCGGCAUCCCAUAUGGGCACCGGGUUCUAGUCUCGGUUGCUCCUCUUCCAGUCCAGCUCUCUGCUGUGGCCCGGGAAGGCAGUGGAGGAUGGCCCAAGUGCUUGGGCCCUGCACCUGCAUGGGAGACCAGGAGGAGGCACCUGAACCAACGGAACCAACGGAAGGAAGACCUUUCUCUGUCUCUGUCUCUCACUGUUUAACUCUGUCUGUCAAAUAAAAAAAAUAAUAAAAUAAAUUAAAAAAAGAAAAGAAAAGAAGCCGGAGACUUAGACCCGCGCUCAGGACAGGAGCUGAGAGGGGCGGAUGUUGGAUUUGUUGAAGGUUUCAGAGCAUUUACGUCAAUCUGUUUAAGGAAUGGAAGGAAAGCAUGAUUGUGGAAAUCAGGAAAAUACAGUCAGCAAACACAGGGAAUUCGAAGAGAAGCGAAGACUGACAAAGGGGGCUGGUGUUACAGCGGAGCUGAUCCAGCUGCCCCCUGUGGCGUCGCAUCCCAUGAGGGUGCCGGUUCAAAUCCCGCUGCCCCUCUUCCGAUCCAGUUCCCUGCGGUGGCCUGGGAAAGCAGCAGAAGAUGGCCCAAGCGUGGGGGGCCCUGCACCCGCGUGGGAGGCCCGGAAGAAGCUCCUGGCUCCUGGCUUUGGCCUGGCCCAGCCCCGUCUGUUGCGGCCAUUUAGGGAGUGAAUCAGCAGAUGGAAGACCUCUCUCUCUCUAACUCUCCUUUCAAAUAAAGCUGUUUUAAAAAGUACAAAACUAUGAGAAAGAAUCAAAGAUUUUAGGAUUCAGCUCUGAAAUGCAAAGCGCUCACGAGGCAGCACUGAGGUCCUGGGCAGCCUGGCCGACUGCUGGCUGGACUGUUAGGAAACUCGACCCCGUUCACCGUGCCGCCUCACGGCGGUGAGAGCAACCGUCCAGGAAGCUAGAUGCAGUGGCGACGCGGGUCAGGAGGGGCCUGCCAGCGCAGGUGGGCCGUGGGAACCAGGGCUACUUGUGAGGGAGGAAGCCAGAGUGACAGCCUCACAGGAGGUAAAGGACAGCGGGAGGGGCCGAGCCCAGCUGCGGAGACUUCCCGGAGGGAACGAGGGACGGGAGAGAGGCAGACAGCAGCCCUGUCGUGCGCUUUCUACCGAGAUCCUGGAGAGGGCGCGUGAUGGAGCUCGCCAGGGCCGAGUUUUCCGACGUCAGAUACGACAGCGGCGCACAGAUGCAGCAGGCCCGGGGGCCCUCACACGCUCCUGCCUGACCUCAGGCCUCCCCGCUUGCAGAGCUAUGAGAAAAGAAUUCCUGGGGCCGGCGCUGUGGCGAGGCGGGCAAUGCCGCCUGCAGUGCCGACACCCCAUGUGGGCGCCGGUUCUAGUCCUGGCUGCUCCUCUUCUGACCCAGCUCCCUGCUGUGGCCUGGGAAGGCAGAAGAUGGCCCAAGUCCUUGGGCCCCUGCACCCAUGUGGGAGACCUGGAAGAAGCUCCUGGCUUCGGAUUGGCGCAGCUUUGCCGUUAUGGCCAUCUGGGGACUGAACCAGCAGAUAGAAGACCUCUCUCUCUCUCUCUCUCUCACUCUGCCUUUUAAAUAAAUAAGUGAAUAUGCAAGGUUUGGAACUGCAGUCCAGUAUUAUACCUGGAAACAUCAGCAUCUGUUUUUCAGCAACUGAUAGACCAGGCAGACAUGAACUAAGGAAGGUGGUGGUUGAUCUGAGCGGCCUUGUCCAUCAGGGUGACAUCUCUGAGUCACUGAGCGGCCUUGUCUACAGGGUGACACCUGUAGAGUGAGUCAUGGGCGGCCUUGUCCGUCAGGGUGACACCUGUAGAGUCAGUCACUGGGCGGCCUUGUCCAUCAGGGUGACAUCUCUGAGUCACUGGGUGGCCUUGUCCAUCAGGGUGACACCUGUAGAGUCAGUCACUGGGUGGCCUUGUCUGUCAGAGUGACACCUGUAGAGUCAGUCCCUUGGGUGGCCUUGUCCAUCAGGGUGACACCUGUAGAGUGAGUCAUGGGCGGCCUUGUCCGUCAGGGUGACACCUGUAGAGUCAGUCACUGGGUGGCCUUGUCCGUCAGGGUGACACCUGUAGAGUCAGUCACUGGGCGGCCUUGUCCGUCAGGGUGACACCUGUAGAGUCAGUCACUGGGCGGCCUUGUCCGUCAGGGUGACACCUGUAGAGUCAGUCACUUGGGUGGCCUUGUCCAUCAGGGUGACACCUGUAGAGUGAGUCAUGGGCGGCCUUGUCCGUCAGGGUGACACCUGUAGAGUCAGUCACUGGGCGGCCUUGUCCAUCAGGGUGACAUCUCUGAGUCACUGGGUGGCCUUGUCCAUCAGGGUGACACCUGUAGAGUCAGUCACUGGGUGGCCUUGUCUGUCAGAGUGACACCUGUAGAGUCAGUCCCUUGGGUGGCCUUGUCCAUCAGGGUGACACCUGUAGAGUGAGUCAUGGGCUGCCUUGUCAGGGUGACAUCUCUGUCAGUCACUGGGCGGAAACAGGAUACACAGUCUUCUCACACUCUACAGGACUUUUACCUAGAGGCUCAUCUUUUGGGCCAUGAAACUCAACUCAACAAAUUUAAAAGAAUAGAAUAUAUAUUCUCAGAAUACAGUGGAAUGAAAGGAAAUCACCAACAGAAAAAUAGCAGCAAAAUUUCCUAAAUAUGUGGAUUUUAACAUUCUUACAUAACACACGAGUCAAAGAAGUCUCAAUAUAAAUAAAAGUUUAAGUGAAAAUACCAAAAUUUUGCGAUGCAGAAAAAGCCUUUGGGAGGUAAUUAACAGCUGUAAUGCGUAGACGAUAGGACUUCAAAAGGUUCCUGAGAGCCCAGAUUAAAAGCUAUGCAGGAAUUCAAACUCUUGCACCAAAAUAACAGAUUUAAUUUCAUGAGCUUACUGAAGUAUUCUCAUAUUAGAACAGAGAGAAGCAACCGGUGCUGUGGCACAGUGGGUUAACGCCCUGGCCUGAAGCACCAGCAUCCUAUAUGGGCGCUGGUUCUAGUCCCGGCUGCUCCACUUCCGAUCCAGCUCUCUGCUGUGGCCUGGGAAAGCAAUAGAAGAUGGCCCAAGUGCUUGGGCCCUGCACCCACGUAGGAGACCUGAAAGAAGCUCCUGGCUCCUGGCUUCGGAUCGGCACAGCUCUGGCCAUUGCGGCCAAGUGGGGAGUGAAUCAGUGAAUGGAAGACCUCUCUCUCUCUCUCUACCUCUCCUUCUCUCUCUGUGUAGCUCUUUGAAAUAAAUAAAUCUUAAAAAAAAAAAGAAGACAUGAACUCAAUAACCCAAGCUUCCACUUGAGGAAUUAGAGAAAGAACAGUUAAAACCCAAAGCAGGCAGAAGAAAGGGGAUAAAAAUUAGAGCCGAGAUGAAUGAGCUGAGAACAGGAAAACAUGGGAGAAAAACUGCUGAGCCAAAGCCGCUUCCUUGGGAAGCUCCGUGACCGUGGUGACCGUGGCCAGGCUAAGCAGCCCCGGGACAGCGCUGGCUGCGCACGCGGCACACUGAAGCACACAGCUCUCCUCCCAGGGCUCAGCCGCCACUGCCGAUCGCCUGGGUUAAUAAGAGCAAAUUUGAUAACUUAGACAAAUUGGGCCAAAUCAGAGAGGAGCAAGUAGAAAUCUGAGUAAGACUAUAUUCAAUAUAUUAAGUCAGGAGCUGGCGCUGUGGCUCACUUGGUUAAUCCUCCACCUGUGGCGCCGGCAUCCCAUAUGGGUGCCGGGUUCUGGUCCUGGUUGCUCCUCUUCCAGUCCAGCUCUCUGCUGUGUCCCGGGAAGGCAGUGGAGGAUGGCCCGAGUGCUUGGGCCCCUGCACCUGCAUGGGAGACCAGGGGGAGGCACCUGGCUCCUGGCUUUGGAUCAGCGUAGCUCCAACCAUGGCGGCCAUUUGGGAGGUGAACCAACAGAGGGAGGACCUUUCUCUCUGUCUCUUUCUCUCUCAUUGUCUAACUCUAUCUGUCCAAAUAUAUAUAUAUAUAUAUAUAUUGUCAAUAAUCAAUAGCCUUUCAAAAACAGAAAGCACCAGGCCAGCAGGAGUUUAGAAAUAAAAUUUGCUCCAAAGAUCUUCCAGGGUAGAAGUCUCCCAGGAAAAGGCCCAGCCACCCACUGCAGAGCCCGGCUUCCCACCAAGUGCUCUGGGGCUGCGGCCCGGGUUCCAGCACACCCAGCCUGGCUUCUGCUGAGGAGGACACUGGCCAAAGGCGGGGCCAGCCAGCCAGCAGUGCGGGCGGCCGCAGUGAGCCCUGUCAGGACAGCUGCCUCGCAAGGGCGUGGCCUGGUGACCAGAGCCCUCCCACCGGGCCGCCCCCCAGGCGCCGUCCGAGACCCAGUCUCCAUCCGCAGUCCACGGCUGCUGACAGGAAUCCACUCGUGGUGAGCAGAAGACUUCGAGUUUCAACAUCAAGUCCUUCUCAACCCGUAACAGGCCUCAUCGAUUCGAACUAAGCUCAGGACUUUGAGACUUGUAGAACGAGAUGGAAGAGGAAAGCCAAGAGACCGCGCGUCUGACAGGGCUCUUCGGCCCUAACGACAGCUGUGGUCCCUGAGCGAG